rnacentral:rRNA from 1 species
GCUUCCGAUGAGAGUGGCGCACGGGUGCGUAACACGUAUGUAACCUACCUUAGUCAGGGGGAUAGCCUCUCGAAAGAGAGAUUAAGACCGCAUAACAUUAUGAUGUGGCAUCGCAUUAUAAUCAAAUAUUUAUAGGACUAAGAUGGGCAUGCGGAACAUUAGCUAGUUGGUAAGGUAACGGCUUACCAAGGCUACGAUGUUUAGGGGAUCUGAGAGGAUGACCCCCCACACUGGUACUGAGACACGGACCAGACUCCUACGGGAGGCAGCAGUAAGGAAUAUUGGUCAAUGGACGGAAGUCUGAACCAGCCAUGCCGCGUGCAGGAAGACGGCCCUAUGGGUUGUAAACUGCUUUUGCAGGGGAAUAAACCUCUCUAUGUAUAGAGAGCUGAAUGUACCUUGAGAAUAAGGAUCGGCUAACUCCGUGCCAGCAGCCGCGGUAAUACGGAGGAUCCGAGCGUUAUCCGGAUUUAUUGGGUUUAAAGGGUGCGUAGGCGGCCU